rnacentral:rRNA from 1 species
GACGAACGCUGGCGGCGUGCUUAACACAUGCAAGUCGAACGGUAAGGCCUUCGGGUACGACGAGUGGCGAACGGGUGGAGUAACACGUGGGUGGAUCUGCCCUGCACUUCGGGAUAAGCCUGGGAAACUGGGUCUAAUACCGGAUAGGACCAUGGACUUCACGGUUUGUGGUGGAAAGCUUUUGCGGUGUGGGAUGGGCCCGCGGCCUAUCAGCUUGUUGGUGGGGUAAUGGCCUACCAAGGCGACGACGGGUAGCCGGCCUGAGAGGGUGUCCGGCCACACUGGGACUGAGAUACGGCCCAGACUCCUACGGGAGGCAGCAGUGGGGAAUAUUGCACAAUGGGCGCAAGCCUGAUGCAGCGACGCCGCGUGAGGGAUGACGGCCUCGGUUGUAA